rnacentral:rRNA from 1 species
GUGAGGAAUUUUCCGCAAUGGGCGAAAGCCUGACGGAGCAAUGCCGCGUGAAGGAUGAAGGCCUAUGGGUUGUAAACUUCUUUUCUCAGAAAAGAAUUAUGACGGUAUCUGAGGAAUAAGCAUCGGCUAACUCUGUGCCAGCAGCCGCGGUAAGACAGAGGAUGCAAGCGUUAUCCGGAAUGAUUGGGCGUAAAGCGUCUGUAGGUUGUUUAAAAAGUAUUCUGUCAAAGAUUAGGGCUUAAACCUAGAUAGGCAGAAUAAACUUUUAAGCUAGAGUUUGGUAGAGGCAGAGGGAAUUCCCGGUGGAGCGGUGAAAUGCGUAGAUAUCGGGAGGAACACCAAAGGCGAAGGCACUCUGCUGGGCCAAUACUAACACUGAGAGACGAAAGCGAGGGGAGCAAAUGGGAUUAGAAACCCCUGUAGUCC